UCUACAAGACCAUACCGUGAUGUUGUGAGCAACUCUGGCAUCACUGAGAACACACAGUUAAAGAGUCUACCAUAUGAACAAAUUGCUAUAACUGUAGGAGGAGUGGCGAGGUUGACUGAUAAUAGAAUCUUUGGUACAUUUAUUGUGACUAAUAUUCGAUCUGUUUGGUUUGCUGAGGAUAAUGAAAUGAAUAAUGUGUCUUUGCCACAUUUAUGUGUUGAGAAAGUUAAUGCUAUACCAACAGAACAUGGAGAGGCUGUAGUUCUGGAAGUAGAAGUUGACAACCAACUAUAUGGAUGGACAUUUCAAACAGAGCCUGCAGAGAGGCAACAGAUCCUUCAGGGGUAUUUGCGUACCCAGCUUGUGCAGUUUAAUGAUUGUACAAUUGUAAGAUUUUAAAAACGACUCAAAUGUUGUGCGUAUGAUGUUAUUUCCCUGAUACUUCAAUUUUUAAAAUAUUUAUUUUAAAAACAAAUCUGCAUGUAAUAGUUCUGGAACUCAUUUUGGAAGAAGAGACUCAU